UACGUAGGUGGCAAGCGUUAUCCGGAUUUAUUGGGUGUAAAGGGCGUGUAGGCGGGAAUGCAAGUCAGAUGUGAAAACUCAGGGCUCAACCCUGAGCCUGCAUUUGAAACCGUAUUUCUUGAGUGCUGGAGAGGCAAUCGGAAUUCCGUGUGUAGCGGUGAAAUGCGUAGAUAUACGGAGGAACACCAGUGGCGAAGGCGGAUUGCUGGACAGUAACUGACGCUGAGGCGCGAAAGCGUGGGGAGCAAACAGG
rnacentral:rRNA from 1 species